UGGCGGACAGGUGAGUAACGCGUGGAUAACCUGCCGUAUACAGGGGGAUAACACUUAGAAAUAGGUGCUAAUACCGCAUAAGCGCACGGUUCCGCAUGGAACAGUGUGAAAAACUCCGGUGGUAUACGAUGGAUCCGCGUCUGAUUAGCCAGUUGGCGGGGUAACGGCCCACCAAAGCGACGAUCAGUAGCCGGCCUGAGAGGGUGAACGGCCACAUUGGGACUGAGACACGGCCCAAACUCCUACGGAAGGCAGCAG
rnacentral:rRNA from 1 species